rnacentral:rRNA from 1 species
GAUGAACGCUGGCGGCGUGCCUAAUACAUGCAAGUCGAGCGAACAGACGAGGAGCUUGCUCCUCUGACGUUAGCGGCGGACGGGUGAGUAACACGUGGAUAACCUACCUAUAAGACUGGGAUAACUUCGGGAAACCGGAGCUAAUACCGGAUAAUAUAUUGAACCGCAUGGUUCAAUAGUGAAAGACGGUUUUGCUGUCACUAAUAGAUGGUUCCGCGCCGCAUUAGCUAGUUGGUAAGGUAACGGCUUACCAAGGCGACGAUGCGUAGCCGACCUGAGAGGGUGAUCGGCCACACUGGAACUGAGACACGGUCCAGACUCCUACGGGAGGCAGCAGUAGGGAAUCUUCCGCAAUGGGCGAAAGCCUGACGGAGCAACGCCGCGUGAGUGAUGAAGGUCUUCGGAUCGUAAAGCUCUGUUAUUAGGGAAGAACAAAUGUGUAAGUAACUAUGCACGUCUUGACGGUACCUAAUCAGAAAGCCACGGCUAACUACGUG